CUCUAGUUACUACUGUGAAUCCAAGUGUGAGUUAGGCUCAGUGCCUGCUACAUUAUCUGUUGGGAUAAACUAAAGAGAACCAGACAUAUUGCCCUGCAUAUCCAUGGGCACCUACAGCAGAUGCAUGAACAAGUACUGUAGGAGCUCCCGGGAGAGCGCUGCCAUCCUCUGCUUUGUGGGUGGGCAGGAGGCACAGCUGUGAGCAUUUGCCAGCAGAGGCAUGGAUAGAGCCCCCAGCUGUUCAUGUUCCUGCUUAUGAUUGGGGCCAAGGGAAGACCUUUGGGAUUUCCUUCUGGGAUGUUGGAAAAUCAGAUGAGACAAUGGUUUAGACAGUGCUUUGAAAUGAAUUACUACAAAAAUAUCCGAGUCUGGGGAAGUCCACUUGUGUCUGGAGCAUCCUUCCAAGGCGACAGUUAACACAAGAUUUGGAAGUCAUUCUGAGUUCUAUGCUAUGUCAGCACCUGCAAUCAAACACAGUGAGGACAACACUUUGGGGAUUCUCAUCAAGAGAGGCUGGAAUCGUUUGGUUAUGUCUGCUGUGAGUUAUUGAUAUUCCUUGGCCCCAGCCAGUAGGGAAAUCUGUGCCAGAAAGCUCCGAUGCUUUUCUCUGGUUCCUCAUCCCCUGACUCAACCAACCACAAAUGGAAACUAUUUGAGGGAAAAUAUGCAUCACUACUGAUUGAGGAUGUACAGAUUUUUUUCCCUU
rnacentral:lncRNA from 1 species